UACGUAGGGGGCAAGCGUUAUCCGGAUUUACUGGGUGUAAAGGGAGCGUAGACGGUAAUGUAAGUCUGAUGUGAAAGCCCGGGGCUCAACCGCGGGACUGCAUUGGAAACUAUGUAACUAGAGUACCGGAGAGGCAGGCGGAAUUCCUAGUGUAGCGGUGAAAUGCGUAGAUAUUAGGAGGAACACCAGUGGCGAAGGCGGCCUGCUGGACGAUGACUGACGCUGAGGCUCGAAAGCGUGGGGAGCAAACAGG
rnacentral:rRNA from 1 species